rnacentral:lncRNA from 1 species
GGAUUUUCCCAGCAAGAUCUCCAUGUACAGCUACAUCUUUAGGGCCGCUCGGGUUAAUAUAUGUCGUCAGAGGCUCCUCACGCCAAUCCCGGGGCGGCAGGGGCGGCGCCUCGAGCUCUCGGCAAUAAAACUUUUUGAUGUUCACGUUGCUAAUUGCCGAGGUCCUCUUCCAGGAUUGGCUACCUCCUCAUAACCAUAAGAUAAUUAAAACUUGGCGGGGGGGGGGGGCAGGGUUAAAAAAACUUUUUUUAUCAGUCAGAGGAUAAUGCAAGUGUUUAACAGAUGCUUCACUAUUAAAAUAUUUUCCCCCCAAGUCUCAAAUAUUGAAGAAUCUCUAACCAGGGACACCAGUCCCUACGAAGACCUUGGGCGAUUUUGAAGUGCGGGCACCUCGAUUCCCCGAAUCUGUAGUGUGGCUGGUAUCGGUGUUCCCCUGGUUUAACUAGCCUGUUUGAAGGCACAGAUCAUUCAUGGGGAUGUAUAACCGAAACCAGUCCUCUCCACCGCCUGGGGAUCUUCACUUUCGCAGUCUACGACUGCCUGUGACUCCAGAAAGACAAACUGCAGAUUGGCCAAGAUGGGGAAAUUGAGGCAGAGAAGCCAAGACAUGUGCUAAAGGUCAUGCAGGCUAUGAAUGGAGCUGGAAUGUGAACGCAGGCCAUAUGACCCCAGAGCCCAUGUUCUUGAACCCUUAGAAAGACAGCAGCAACACACCUGGUGCAGCAGCUGCUUAGUUGGAGUGGCUGACAAGGUUGGCAGAGGAUCCCGUUCCUCCCGUGGAGUGGCUGCCAUGAUACUGCCUGCACUGAAGCUGCUCCUAUUUCUGAAAUAUGUAUUGUUAUUUUUUUCCCUGCAUGUUGAACAUUAUACUCUUCUGUUCUUUCGCAUUCUCUUCUUCCCUUCCGGAUGACUUCUAGGGUUUUUGUGAUUCUGUAAUUCUAAAGGAGAAAGGAUAAUAAGAAUUGUGAGGCCGGGCGCGGUGGCUCAUGCCUGUAAUCACAGCACUUUGGGAGGCCAAGGUGGGCGGAUCACUAGGUGAGGAGAUGGAGACCAUCCUGGCUAACACGGUGAAACCCCGUCUCUACUAAAAAUACAAAAAAUUAGCGGGGUGUGGUGGCGGGCGCCUGUAGUCCCAGCAACUCGGGAGGCUGAGGCAGGAGAAUGGCGUGAACCCGGGAAGCGGAGCUUGCAGUGAGCCGAGAUUGCGCCACUGCACUCCAGCCUGGGCGAAGAGGGAGACUCCAUCUUAAAAAAUUAAAAAAAAAAAUUACAGAAAAUUAGCUGGGCGCGGUGGCGGGCGCCUAUAGUCCCAGCUACUCGGGAGGCUGAGGCAGGAGAAUGACGUGAACCCGAGAAGCGGAGCUUGCAGUGAGCCAAAAUCGCGCCACUGCACUCCAGCCUGGGCGGCAGAGCGAGACUCCGUCUCAAAAAAAAAAAAAAAAGAAUUGUGAUGUGAGUGUCCAAAAAAACCCUGAUUUCCAAUCACCUACACAUGGCUGUUUCCUAGAUACACCAGAAAAAAUUGUGACUUUCCGGAUACCUAGUUUCCCUCCCUCCCUCCCUCCCUCCCUUCUUCCCUCCCUC